CAAACCAAAGCUGGCGACCGGCGCACGGGUGAGUAACACGUAUCCAACCUGCCUCAUACUCGGGGAUAGCCUUUCGAAAGAAAGAUUAAUAUCCGAUAGCAUAUAUUUCCCGCAUGGGUUUUAUAUUAAAGAAAUUCGGUAUGAGAUGGGGAUACGUUCCAUUAGUUUGUUGGGGGGGUAACGGCCCACCAAGACUACGAUGGAUAGGGGUUCUGAGAGGAAGGUCCCCCACAUUGGAACUGAGACACGGUCCAA
rnacentral:rRNA from 1 species